rnacentral:lncRNA from 1 species
CUCUCUCUCUUCUUUAACCAAGAGUCUUUCACCAUUUCCAGUUUAAAGAGCAUUCUCUUUAAUAAACAAUAAGAAAAAGGGGGAAACAAACUAGGAAUUGUACGGUUCUUUCUCGUGGUCUUUUGCUUGUAUCACUUCACUCACCCCAAGCAGACCUAUUUUCUCCUUAUUUUAUUUCUGGUCUAAAUGUAGCACAAAUGAUUUUUGUAUUGCUGACAUUAGACUUUCUGAAAAUCUGGGCCAUUCUAUCUUUUGAUUUCCAAUCUGAUAAACUUUUGACAUGAUUUGUGUUGAUUCUUUACUGAUGUCUGGUUUCUGUUUCUAUACAUAUCCCUUCAAAAUCAAAGCUAUUGAAGAGCUGAAGCCUCGACGGCUUCUUUAGAUCCACCCCAUUCCUCUCCUCUCCAGCUUCCUCUGUGGUUAUAUAUUAUGAACAAUUCUUCAGCAAUCAUUUUCUCUUGCUCAUCUCUGGUUUUUGGACUCUCCAGCCAUGAGCUCAUGACCAUAUUUUUUUGGUAAAUUUUUUGACGUGUUCUUUCCCAAACUCUGUGGACAUGCCUGGGGAUCCCUUUCUUGGCUAUGUCAAAUUGUCCUUGUCAUUUUCUCCUGUUUCCUGUCACCUCCACCAUCACCUCAUUGAUGAUCAUUAGCACUGGUAUAUCAGUUCUCCUCAUGGCUUCAUCAGCACUGUGAGGUAAUGACAGUUAAACAAAAGGGACAGUGACAAAUGAUCAAGGCUGGUGAUGAAACUAGAAAGAAAUGGAUAGGAAGGACAGUUCAAGAAGGAACUCUACAAAUGCUGACUGUCUUACAGUUCUCCUCUUGGGCUUGGCCUGGUGCAAUGGUGGCAGGCAUGGAUUUUUGGAGAUCAGAUGUGGCUCCAAUAGCUAGCAAUGCAGUGAACAGAAAAUGUGCAAGGCCAGGGUGGGUAGAAGCUAAUUCCUGGGCCACCAGCAGCACACAUCUUCAGAACCUCAUGAACUAGAGGACCUGGACCUCUUACAAUCCUUUGGCUGGGAUUUUCCCAGAAAUCUGGCCAGACUGAAGGCAUCAGAACAUGCAGCUAAGGGACAGAGGACCACUGCAGACAAGCAGAUCCACCUAACAUAAGCCCUGUAGGCAGCAGGCAAUUUCGUGUGAGAAAUCGUCCUUGUUUGUGAAAUGAACAAUUUCCACUCCCUCUGGCAGACGCUAUAGGAGUCCUGCCAGUAUCCGCUCAGCACUCACCAGCCUUGUACAUGCUGAUAGCUUUCUAUUGCAAGCAUCUGCAACUCUGCCUGGGGCUUUUUCCAGCUGCAGGGGGGUGCUCACCAAAUACCCAGGGUAUGCCAGAAGUUUCAGGAAGCGGCAAUGGCAAAAUGCCCCAGCUUCUCACCCCAAGUGGGACAACUCAAGCAUGUGUUUGCAUGGUCUCUCAGAUGUGCCCAGCAGGAUCAAACCCCAGUUGCCAACAGUGGUCUGCUGCUGACACCGGUAAGAGCAACUUGGGGAGGUUGGAACUCUCAAACCCAUUUUGCAGAUGAGGACACAGAGGAGGCUUAUACAGAUGAAGCAGUUUGCCCAAGGUAAGUAGACAGCAAGCAUCAAGAGUCAGGAUCUGAAAGGCCACUGUUUCAACGAUGGUAUGCCACCUCAUGUGAACUUUGCAUUUUCUGAUUUGAUUAGGGAAGACAAUGACCAUGCACUAAAUGUUGAAAAAUGACACAUUCAAUGGAUGGAAAAGAUAUUUUAGUCUGAAUGUAAUUGUUUUGGGAUUGGGCCGUCCUUUUCAAACUUGACUGUGUAUACAAAUCACCUGGGAAUCUUAUUAAAAUGCAGAUCCUGCUGGACGUGGUGGCUCACUCCCGUAAUCCCAGUGCUUUGGAAGGCCAAGGCAAGAGGAUCGCUUGAGGCCAGGAGCUUGAGACCAGCCUGGGCAACAUAUAGAGACCCAGUCUCUACUAAAUAAAUAAAUAAAUAAAUAAAUAAAUAAAUAAAUAAAUAAAAUAAAAUGCAGAUCCUGAUUCAGCAGGUUUGCAGUAGAGCCUGAGAUUCACAUUUUUUUCAUUAAAAAAUAGUGCUCUUUAUUAUAAAUUACUGAAAUGUUUCUUUUCUGAAUAGAAAUAUAAAUAUGUGCAAAGUUUGACUUGGAUUAGGAUUUUAUUGAGUUCUUCAAGCAUCUCCUAAUAGCCUCGAGGGCGUGAGUAGGGGGGAGGAGAGAGGACUGGAGGUGGAAUCUUUAUAAAAGAGUGAUUGAGACAUUGUAAACAUUAUUAAAAAA